rnacentral:rRNA from 1 species
UUAUAAGAAAUCGUACCCCAAACCGACACAGGUGAUCAGGUAGAGAAUACCAAGGCGCUUGAGAGAACUCGGGUGAAGGAACUAGGCAAAAUGGUACCGUAACUUCGGGAGAAGGUACGCUCCUAGCGGUGAUGAGACUUGCUCUCUAAGCUGCCGGGAGUCGCAGAUACCAGGUGGCUGCAACUGUUUAUUAAAAACACAGCACUGUGCAAAAUCGAAAGAUGACGUAUACGGUGUGACGCCUGCCCGGUGCCGGAAGGUUAAUUGAUGGGGUUAGACUUCGGUCGAAGCUCUUGAUCGAAGCCCCGGUAAACGGCGGCCGUAACUAUAACGGUCCUAAGGUAGCGAAAUUCCUUGUCGGGUAAGUUCCGACCUGCACGAAUGGCGUAAUGAUGGCCACGCUGUCUCCACCCGAGACUCAGUGAAAUUGAAAUCGCAGUGAAGAUGCUGCGUCCCCGCGGCUAGACGGAAAGACCCCGUGAACCUUUACUAUAGCUUGGCACUGAACAUUGACCCUACAUGUGUAGGAUAGGUGGGAGACGUUGAAGCAACCGCGCCAGUGGUUGUGGAGUCAAUCUUGAAAUACCACCCUUGUAUGCUUGAUGUUCUAACGUUGGCCCCUUAUCGGGGUUACGGACAGUGCCUGGUGGGUAGUUUGACUGGGGCGGUCUCCUCCCAAAGAGUAACGGAGGAGCACGAAGGUGGGCUAAUCACGGUCGGACAUCGUGAGGUUAGUGCAAUGGCAUAAGCCCGCUUGACUGCGAGAAUGACAAUUCGAGCAGGUGCGAAAGCAGGUCAUAGUGAUCCGGUGGUUCUGAAUGGAAGGGCCAUCGCUCAACGGAUAAAAGGUACUCCGGGGAUAACAGGCUGAUACCGCCCAAGAGUUCAUAUCGACGGCGGUGUUUGGCACCUCGAUGUCGGCUCAUCACAUCCUGGGGCUGAAGUCGGUCCCAAGGGUAUGGCUGUUCGCCAUUUAAAGUGGUACGCGAGCUGGGUUUAGAACGUCGUGAGACAGUUCGGUCCCUAUCUGCCGUGGGCGUUGGAUGAUUGAGAGGGGCUGCUCCUAGUACGAGAGGACCGGAGUGGACGAACCGCUGGUGUUCGGGUUGUGUCGCCAGACGCAUUGCCCGGUAGCUAAGUUCGGAAUCGAUAACCGCUGAAAGCAUCUAAGCGGGAAGCGAGCCUCAAGAUGAGUCAUCCCUAGACCUUUAAGGUCUCUAAAGGGUUGUUGAAGACUACAACGUUGAUAGGUCGGGUGUGUAAGUGCUGCGAGGCAUUGAGCUAACCGAUACUAAUUGCCCGUGAGGCUUAACCAUACAACACCCAAGGGGUUU